GUCGAGAGAGUACGAUACAUCGGUGUAAAAGGUUG
rnacentral:sRNA from 1 species